AGACGAGUUCCCAUGCGAUCAUCGAAGUUAAGCAACGUCGAGCCUGGUUAGUACCUAGAUGGGUGACCGUUUGGGAAUACCAGGUGCUGUAAU